CAAUAGCGUAUAUUAAAGUUGUUGCAGUUAAAAAGCUCGUAGUUGGAUUUGUGGCGUACGGUGUGUUCCGGGCACUUGUUGUCUGAGUAACCUGCUGUUGCCAUCCUUGGGUGGAACCUGUGUGGCAUUAGGUUGUCGUGCAGGGGAUGCCCAUCAUUUACUGUGAAAAAAUUAGAGUGUUCAAAGCAGGCUUAUGCCGUUGAAUAUAUUAGCAUGGAAUAAUGAGAUAGGACUUUUUUGCUAUUUUGUUGGUUUGCGCAAAGAGGUAAUGAUUAAUAGGGCCAGUUGGGGGUAUUCGUAUUCCAUUGUCAGAGGUGAAAUUCUUGGAUUUUUGGAAGACGAACUACUGCGAAAGCAUUUACCAAGGAUGUUUUCAUUAA
rnacentral:rRNA from 1 species